UCCAACAACGUAUCUUUGUGAAAUAGGCCU
rnacentral:piRNA from 1 species